rnacentral:lncRNA from 1 species
AUUUCCAAAGAAAAUUUACUGCAUGCAAUCGCUCAAAAGCGCUCAACUCAAAAACUGGCAACUUUACGACCAGCACUGGCUAGUCUCCAAAACUUAAUAAAAUACAGCCUCUCAGGCUAAAUUAUAUAUAAACAUAUAUAAGUGUAUGUAUUCACACUCGUCAGACUCCUUAUAUGAAUUCUAAGAACAAAUUAGAAAAAUAGAAAUUCAUACAAGGCUACUACGCUUGCGUCUAACGCUCACGUCACACCAUAAUGGAAUUGUACCUCAGUAUGGCGGAAAAAGCACGAGUGUAUAUACGUGUGGACUCCCUAUAUGAAAACCUAAAUAAACCAAAUAAGAAAAUAGUUUUAAUAUAGGGCUACUACGCUUGUGUCUAACACUCACGUCACACCAUAAUGGUAUUUUACCUCAUUAUGGCGGAUCAGCACGUAUGGCUAGCUAGCAUUUACAUAUACAUACUAUCAUCAUAAACAUCCAAUAAACAUAUCCACCGAAAACCUCAUUUUCGGGAUCUCUCUAAAGGAGGAAAAUUGCCAAAUAUCCGAGAAAUAAAUAAAUCUCAGGAAAAGAAUUAAAUGAUCAACAGAUAAUUCAUCGCAUGCUUUUCAAUUAAAAUAAAGGUCUACUCAUAAAUUAGGCCUAAGCCUGAUGACGCUCCGAGGCUUCCUCUGCUUGGGCCUCCUCUCGUCUUGUUCCAAAUAUAUUAUUAAUUUCCCAACUAACAAUUCAAUAAUUAAUCAAAAUAGGCAAAAUUACCCGAGAGUCAUAAACACGCUCACCAUUGCCUAACUUCGAUAUUCUUAAAUCGGAAUGAUCCAAACUUAAAUAUCAUCCUCGGCAGUCGUAAAUAUAACCUCCCCAAAAAUACGACUUAAAUCUUACGGCCGGAUUCUACAUUAAUUAACCGCCAAAAAUACCAAACUUCGGAAAAUCACAAACCUAUCCAAAACUCAUCCAAAAUUCCAUAACUCACUUCAAUAAACUCCCCUUAAUAUUCUACAUUUAAAACACAUAAAAAAUCUCCCAACCGGCGGCGGCGCCGGCAGCGGCGGCCGGAGGCCAAUUCCGGCAACCUCCAAAACCUAUGAAAUUUUGACAGAAUAAUCCUCUCAUCAUGCUCUACAACUUUCCUAACUAGCACAAACACCAAAUCCAAGCCUAACUAGGGCAAUCGAACACAAACACCUAAAAGCCCUAUAAAUUUCAACUCCACAUUUCUCCUUACUUAGCUCAAGAGAGGGAGAGUCCUUUUAGGGCAAGGCUGCUGGGUUGGAGGGCUACAAAACCGUACCAAGCUUGCCCGGAUUGGUGGCCGGAGGAGGAAGUUCCGGCGAAAAGCUUCCCGGCGUUUCCGGCGGGUUAGAGGCUCGGGGGCUAGGCCGGGGAGGGAGAGGAGGAGAUGGGGGGUCCGAACUGGGG